rnacentral:rRNA from 1 species
GAUGAACGCUGGCGGCGUGCCUAAUACAUGCAAGUCGAGCGAACAGACGAGGAGCUUGCUCCUCUGACGUUAGCGGAGGACGGGUGAGUAACACGUGUAUCACCUACCUAUAAGACUGGGAUCACUUCGGGACACCGGCGCUUAUCCCGGAUAAUCUAUUGCACCGCAUGGUUCAAUAGUGAGAGACGGUUUUUCUGUCUCUUCUCGCUGGAUCCCGGCCGCUUUAGCUAGUUGGUAAGUUCACGGCCUACUAAGGGGACGAUGCGUAGCCGACGUGAGGGAGGGAUAGGCCACACUGGAACUUAGACGGGGACAAGGCUCCUACGAGAGGCAGCAGUAGGGUAUCUGCCGCAAUAGGCGAAAGCCUUACGGAGCAACGCCGAGUGAGUGAUAGAGGUCUUCGGAGCGUAAAGCUCUGUUAUGGGGUAAGAACAAAUUUGUAAGGAAAUAUGCACGUCGUGACGGUACCUAAUCAGAAAGCCACGGCUAACUACGUG